rnacentral:rRNA from 1 species
CCUACGGGUGGCUGCAGUGAGGAAUAUUGGUCAAUGGCCGGAAGGCUGAACCAGCCAAGCCGCGUGAAGGACGACGGUGCCAAGCAUUGUAAACUUCUUUUGUCAAGGGACAAAAUCAGGCUCGAGAGCCUGAACGAGGAUACUUGAAGAAAAAGCAUCGGCUAACUCCGUGCCAGCCGCCGCGGUAAUACGGAGGAUCCGAGGGUUAUCAGGAUUUAUUGGGUUUAAAGGGAGCGUGGGUGGAUUGUUAAGUCAGUUGUGAAAGUUUUCGGCUCAACCGUAAAAUUGCAGUUGAAACUGGCAGUCUUGAGUACAGGAGAGGUGGGCGGAAUGCGUGGUGUAGCGGUGAAAUGCUUAGAUAUCACGAAGAACUCCGAUUGCGAAGGCAGUUCACUGGACGGCAACUGACACUGAGGCUCGAAAGUGUGGGUAUCAAACAGGAUUAGAUACCCGAGUAGUC